rnacentral:rRNA from 1 species
GUGAGGAAUAUUGGUCAAUGGGCGAGAGCCUGAACCAGCCAAGUCGCGUGAGGGAAGACGGUCCUAUGGAUUGUAAACCUCUUUUGCCGGGGAGCAACGGGCGCCACGUGUGGCGCCACUGAGAGUACCCGGAGAAAAAGCAUCGGCUAACUCCGUGCCAGCAGCCGCGGUAAUACGGAGGAUGCGAGCGUUAUCCGGAUUUAUUGGGUUUAAAGGGUGCGUAGGCGGGCUGUUAAGUCAGCGGUAAAAUUUGGAGGCUCAACCUCCACGAGCCGUUGAAACUGGCGGUCUUGAGUGGGCGAGAAGUAUGCGGAAUGCGUGGUGUAGCGGUGAAAUGCAUAGAUAUCACGCAGAACCCCGAUUGCGAAGGCAGCAUACCGGCGCCCGACUGACGCUGAAGCACGAAAGCGUGGGUAUCGAACAGGAUUAGAAACCCCAGUAGUCC